UCCAAUCAUGAAACUACACCA
rnacentral:piRNA from 1 species